rnacentral:rRNA from 1 species
GCUGGCGGCGUGCUUAACACAUGCAAGUCGAACGGUGAAGGGGCCUGCUUUUGUUGGGUCCUGGAUGAGUGGCGAACGGGUGAGUAACACGUGAGUAACCUGCCCCCUUCCUUCUGGAUAACCGCAUGAAAGUGUGGCUAAUACGGGAUAUUCUGUGCCUGCUGCAUGGUGGGUGUGGGAAAGAUUGCGCCUUUGGGUGUUUUGGUUGGGGGAUGGGCUCGCGGCCUAUCAGCUUGUUGGUGGGGUGAUGGCCUACCAAGGCGGUGACGGGUAGCCGGCCUGAGAGGGUGGACGGUCACACUGGGACUGAGACACGGCCCAGACUCCUACGGGAGGCAGCAGUGGGGAAGUAUUGCACAAUGGGCGCAAGCCUGAUGCAGCGACGCCGCGUGAGGGAUGGAGGCCUUCGGGUUGUGAACCUCUUUCGCCAGUGAAGCAGGCCUGUCCCUGUGUGGGUGGGUUGACGGUAGCUGGAUAAGAAGCGCCGGCUAACUAC